GUACUUACCUGGCAGGGGAGACACCAUGAUCACGAAAAUGGUUUUCCCAGGGCAAGGCUUAUCCACUGCACUCCAGAUGUACUGACCCCUGUGAUUUCCCCAAAUGUGGGAAAAUUGACUGCAUAAUUUGUGGUAGUGGAGGACUGCAUUCACACUUUCUCUGG